rnacentral:rRNA from 1 species
CCUACGGGAGGCAGCAGUGGGGAAUAUUGGACAAUGGGGGCAACCCUGAUCCAGCAAUGCCGCGUGUGUGAAGAAGGCCUGAGGGUUGUAAAGCACUUUUGUUGGGGAGGAUGGAGUACUAUGUUAAGAGCUAAGUACUUUGACGUUACCCAAAGAAUAAGCACCGGCUAACUCCGUGCCAGCAGCCGCGGUAAUACGGAGGGUGCAAGCGUUAAUCGGAAUUACUGGGCGUAAAGAGUGCGUAGGCGGUAAAGUAAGUUAUCUGUGAAAUCCCUGGGCUUAACCUAGGUGGGAAAGAUAAAACUGCUUAACUAGAGUGUGGUAGAGGAUAGUGGAAUUUCCGGUGUAGCGGUGAAAUGCGUAGAGAUCGGAAGGAACACCAGUGGCGAAGGCGGCUAUCUGGACCAACACUGACGCUGAGGCACGAAAGCGUGGGGAGCAAACAGGAUUAGAUACCCCAGUAGUC